rnacentral:rRNA from 1 species
GGAAUAUUGGACAAUGGGCGAAAGCCUGAUCCAGCAAUGCCGCGUGAGUGAUGAAGGCCUUAGGGUUGUAAAGCUCUUUUACCCGGGAUGAUAAUGACAGUACCGGGAGAAUAAGCUCCGGCUAACUCCGUGCCAGCAGCCGCGGUAAUACGGAGGGAGCUAGCGUUAUUCGGAAUUACUGGGCGUAAAGCGCACGUAGGCGGCUUUGUAAGUAAGAGGUGAAAGCCCAGAGCUCAACUCUGGAAUUGCCUUUUAGACUGCAUCGCUUGAAUCAUGGAGAGGUCAGUGGAAUUCCGAGUGUAGAGGUGAAAUUCGUAGAUAUUCGGAAGAACACCAGUGGCGAAGGCGGCUGACUGGACAUGUAUUGACGCUGAGGUGCGAAAGCGUGGGGAGCAAACAGGAUUAGAUACCCUAG